AAUAAAAAAAAAAAAAGAAUAUCGUGUAAUUAAUAAUGCAAUUGGUAAACGGAUGUAAUUAGAUGAUGUUGAUCGUUAAGAUUUUGUAAGUUUCACUGAAUAUUUUGCAGGAGAGAGCAUGAUGAUAAGAAUCGAGAUCUAUGUGUAGGUAAUGCCAUUUGUACUUGCAGUGACAUGGAAAAAGGAAUAGACAAUGCAGGAUAAUAUUUUUUCGUUUGAGGUUUCAUUUUCCAAGAUGAUUGGGUUUGAACUUUAUAUUUUAUUGGGUUAAGUUUAGGUCGGACUGUAUAAAAAUGAGGCUGUCUGCUGCAAAAUGAAAUGUAAUCGUAACAUUAAUUGUAUUAAAGCUUUCUGCGAAUAUCUCGGAAACUAAAGCCAAGUAGCGAUAAUAUGUAUAAAAAAAAGUUGUCCAGAAUGAUGACCUCGUCACAUCUCAAAAUCAUGAAAAUCGGUGAACUGUGUCCUUUUAUAUGUAAUUUCUUAAAUAAGUUUUAUAUUUACAUAAUGAAAAAUAAUACGAUAUAUAUCUCAAUCUUUAUUAUUUAUUUGCUAAUAGUAUUAACAAGAACACUGUUAUUGUUAACAAAACAACAACGUAUGAUUCGUAUUAUUCAUUUCCAUAAUGUAUUAUUCAAGGCUCGAACAAUUUCUCUAAAUAGUAUAACAUGAAUAUAUAUUAGCAGAUGAUAUAAUGUAGCUUUGUAAAUUUGGACAGUAAUACGACUGAAAAUUGAGCUGAUGAACCUAAAACUUAUGGUUGUUUGAAACUAGCAACGUAUCUAGAUAUGCGUUCAAUUGCAUGCACUCGACAAAUUUCAUCGAUUAAGUCCGAAACUAAACGUAACAUUGGAACUAAAACUUGGAACAAUGUUUACAACAACUAAAACAAUCUAAAACAACCUUCAAGUGCCCGAUUUUCAAGAAAAUGGGCCUAGUAAAAAAUCACUUUUUUUCGUGAUAAAUCAUUAUUUGUUUGGAACAAUCUUGGACUAAUGUAGAGCAACUUGGAACAACAACAAAAAAUCUGCCUCCUCAAAAUAUCUGAUAUGUAAAAUAAUGCGUAUAAGUUUUUGUUACUAUAAUUAUAAAAUUAUAUUCUUGAUAGCAUCGAAGUAGAUUUAGUUUAAAGAUAGCAAUAGUGAUCGUUGGAUAUUUCGUAGGAAUAAAUAAAUAUUAGAAUUUUAUUUAGAAAUAUAAAAUCUUUAUAUCUACCGUUGUUUGUGAAAACAUUCAUUAAGGAUACGUUCGUUCGCCGAUUAACACUAGAACUACCGAUAGUUAACACGAAGCUAUUUCUGCCAAAACCAGGAAAAAUGACUGAUCUUUAAAAGAUACGCAAUAAUAGAAUAUUUUCAUAUUUCUUGAUUUAUUACUUUCUUACAGAAGCAAUUACAUGUUAUGUAAUACAUUUUUGGUAUAUUGAUCCAUCUGGAACCAUAAUUCCUAAACGGGGGUUGACACAUUUAUAAAAUUUUAGAACCAGUCAUUUUCACUGGUAUUUGUAUAUAUAGCCUUCAUACAAAAUUAUUUUCAGUUUGAAUACAUAGAAAACGAAAUAAAAUUAAUUAUAUUAUUCUUUUAGUAAUCGUUGCGGGAGUCAUUACAUCAUUGCAGAAAGAAAGAUAUAACAUGAAUAGGGAAUUUUAAAAUAAAAUUGUAAAACCAGUCAAUUUCACUGGUGUGAUAGUUCUAGCGUUAAAUAUAAUCAUUCAUUGCCCGAUAAUUAAAAGUAUACAACAAAAAUCCUUUUAGCUAACUUAUUUAAUUAGAUUAGAAAUUCCUUAAAUUAAGGACAUUUCUCUUCAUUUUGGCAAUGAUACCGUAUAAUAAAAGAAUCGUCUUUUCUUACACUUCUUUACUUACAACACUAGAACAACCCAGAGCAAAAAUAUGAUAACUGGACACAUAUGUAAAGCUGCUUUUGCUCUUGCGUCGAUGUCGCUUGUCUGGCCGUGUUCCAGUCUUCAAAUUUUUGUUCUGGGUUGUUCUAGUGAUGUAAGUAUGUGUUGCAAAGAAGAACUUUUUACUGUAUUUGUUUGGAACAAUGUAGAAUAAACGUAGAAUAAUUUGGAACAACUUUAAAAAA